rnacentral:lncRNA from 1 species
AUACCGGACGGAGUAUUGAGGUUCAUGGUUUUGGCGCCCAUACCGAACGGGGUAUGGGGACGGCCCUGGAAUCAGAUUAUUAAUGUUAAUGGUUCACGUGUAGCGGGGACCCCCUAUGGAUCCCCAUGGAUACUAGUAGGCUGGUAAAAGAGGAAAUCUGUUGUCUGAUUAUUAGAGUGCAAAAGUAUAACAUGUGUUAUGUUACAAAGUGUAUAUGAUUUUAUGAUGACUUUAAUAUUAUUGUU